rnacentral:rRNA from 1 species
GCGAACUCGGUGACGGAGACGUCGAUGUGUCGUGGGGGGCUAGCGAUGUUGGUAGUGACUGGGUGUAAGGGGUUCGUAGACGGGGGGGCAAGACGGGAGUUAAAUUUAUGGGCUUAACGCAUAACCUGAUUCCGAAACUGGUGUGCUCGGGUGUGGGGGAUGCGCGUGGAAUUUCAGGUGAAGCGGUGAAAUGCGUAGAUAGCGGCAGGAACACCCGUGGCGAAAGCGGCGCGCUGGACCAUUACUGACGCUGAGGAACGAAAGCUAGGGGAGCAAACAGGAUUAGAUACCCUGGUAGUC